CGAAUGGCCUUUGGCCCGGAAAAAAUAGAGAAUGGCCCAGUGGCCUGUUUUCUUAAGAAGAUCUGGUUACGAUUUGCGCUUUAGCCCCUGAUCUUUGGAGUAGUUUCACUGCGGCCCAAAAUAUCUUAAAUAUCUUUCAUGUAGGUCCUUAAAUUAAUUGUACUUUGGUCCCUAAAUUUUAUCUUUCAUUUAAUUUUGACCUCUA
rnacentral:lncRNA from 1 species